GGCGAACGGGUGAGUAAUACUUGGAUAAUCUGCCACUAGGAUUGGGAUAACCUCAGGAAACUGAGACUAAUACCAAAUAUGACCACAGUCUUUACGAAGACAGUGGUAAAAUGUUUUUUCGCCUAGUGAUGAGUCCAAGUCGCAUCAGGUUGUUGGUAAGGUAAUGGCUUACCAAGCCUAUGACGCGUAGCAGGUCUUAGCGGAUGAUCUGCCACAUGGGGACUGAGAUACGGCCCUGACUCCUACGGGAGGCAGCAGUGAGGAAUAUUGGACAAUGGACGAAAGUCUGAUCCAGCGAUGCCGCGUGAAGGAUGAAGGCCCUAGGGUUGUAAACUUCUGUCAGCAGGGAAGAUAAUGACGGUACCUGCAGAGGAAGCCCCGGCUAACUCCGUGCCAGCAGCCGCGGUAAUACGGAGGGGGCAAACGUUAUUCGGAUUUACUGGGCGUAAAGGGUUCGUAGGCGGUUUUUUAAGUUAGAUGUGAAAGCUUGAAGCUUAACUUCAAAAUAGCAUCUAAAACUGAAUUACUAGAUUCUUGGAGAGGUAGAUGGAAUUACCGGUGUAGCGGUGAAAUGCGUAGAUAUCGGUAGGAACACCAGUGGCGAAAGCGAUCUACUGGACAAGUAAUGACGCUGAGGGACGAAAGCGUGGGUAGCAAACAGGAUUAGAUACCCUGGUAGUCCACGCCCUAAACGAUGAAUACUAGAUGUUGGAUUUAUUCAGUAUCGUAGCUAACGUAUUAAGUAUUC
rnacentral:rRNA from 1 species